UGGUAGGGUUGUAACAAAUUCGCUUUAGAACUCUUUUGUAGUAAAACAGACGAGUGUAUUCAAAUAUAUAAACAUGAGAGGCAAUGGAGGCGAACAUAGAAGUGACAGCAGUGGGCACUGUGACAUGCACUUGUAAUAGCUUAGUGGGUGACACUCAGGGAAAUCCAUUCCUCUGCACAUAUAAAGCAUACCCUGGAUGCGAGCUCCAGAGUCCCUGAGAACGGGGAGAGUAGCUUCUCCCUGCUGCUGCUGUGCAUGGCAAGGCAGCACUAAGCAGGCACUGGGCAGGCUGGUGCUCUCCUCAGACACGUGAUUGAAUCUGAUCUCUGGCGCUGCUCAGUGGGGUGGUGGAGGAGGAGGAGAGGAGGAGGUCGCAGUGUUGUGUACUUAAGGUCGCGUGUGUGCUGGGUUUUUCUCCCUCUCUCUCUGAGGAGUAAGUGCCACUGCUCCGCCUUCUCCUUUUCGCAAUGUUGACGCAAUCUAUAAAUAGUGGAACAAAAGGACCAACUUCCUCGCAGCUUUGCUGAAACUGCACAAAAAAGGCAACAGGGGGGUUGUUAUUUUUAAUUUUUUUUUCUGGUUAAACAGCCGAAUCUAGGGGUAAUAUCGCUACUGGAAGAUUUUUCUUCGCUUUUUCAUAAUACUGGCAGCAUCCUGCAACUGGCUAUUUUGCUUUACAGUAAGAAGGUGUUUUUCCUCCUCUGACAGAUCAAUCAGUAGGUCCCCUGGAGUUGGAAGCAUACAUGACAAAUGAAGAAACAUCUCUAUGAUGUGAUGGACUAGUCAUAUGAGAAUACCUGUAUUUUCUAUGCUUAGAGCAGAAGAGCUUUAAUUUCCUGUUGUUGCUCAAGGCAAUCUGGUUGAUGACAGAUUCUCCAAUGUAUCAAGGUCCUUUUGAAUUCUAAUCUUGUCCUCCAAAGAGCUUGCAACUCCUUCCGUCUUGGUGUCACCUACAACUUUUAUGUUUUCUCCUGAGGGAAAAAAAGGAGGAAGAGCCUGACCUGGAUGUCUGAGGGAGGAAUAAACGUAGAGCUUAAGAAAAAUUUUCACACAGUUGUUUUUCCAGUACUGAAAGCCCUAAGUCACAACCUCCAUCUCAGUUUCCACAUCUGUAAAAUGGGGAUAGUGAUACACCAAACUAGCAGGUUUUGACCUUUCAAUGGAGAACUGAUUCUGGAGAACAACUUACUUCUGUGAUUGAAAAAUUCUCUCUGGAAAGCUGAUGGAGCAUGAGAAUGGAAAUCUAAGAACACAGAACAAAACGAGGAGAAGAAGUGUGCAAUAAUACUCUACAGAUGCAAGGUAAAGGAUUGUUCUGUCUGUGAACAGGUGGCUUCAUGUGGCACACAGGGGGAGAGAUUCUCUUGGCAGUGUCUUCCCAGGCUCUGACAAAAAAGAUGACACCUAUGAUUCAGAAUUAGAAGGGGAAAUCUGCCAGUUAGCAUACGCUCCUUAAUUUAUGGAUGUUCCUUAACGUGUGGGUUUCUCUUCACCACAAAGGAUCUGGUAUAUCCAUGCCAGUAAUUCCUGGAAGAUAGUGAAGAACAGUCAUCUCCUUCUGAAAGAAUUUGGGGUGCCUUACAAUUUAUUAUUCAUAUUACAAGAAAAACCCAUAUAAUGUAAAAUUCUUACCACUUAAUCUAAAUCUAGGAAGAAAGGACAAUUUGAAUUGUCUUAAAUACUGCAUCUAAACUUUAAAACAGGGAGCAGCUUUCUAAACAGUUUGACACAGAAUAGGCUCAAAAGAAUCUAUUUCCAUUUGAAAGCACUAGAAAUCUGUUUUGAAAGCUUUGGAGAUGUACAGUGCUUUUAAGAGUUACACAAAAGCUUAUGCUCAAAUAAAUUUGUUAGUCUCUAAGGUGCCACAAGUACUCCUUUUCUUUUUACUGUUGUAAGAUAAGUUCUAUAAUUUUAUCUAACAUCUGAAUCCUAGUUCCGGGGCCUUUAAGUUGACUUCAUCAUUUCAGUCAUACACUGACUGAAAGUGGACUUCCUGCUAAGGCAGAAUACAUUUAUUUCUGGAAUUUUGUUUUUGAAUAUUGUUUACUAAAUAAUGACUUUUUGAACUGUUAAAGUAAAUUGCAAAUAUUUGGUUUAGCUCUACAAUUCCCUUGAGGUAGAUAAGUGCUAGCCCCAUCUUUCAUAUGUGAAAAAGUGAUUGUCUCUCCUUCUCCACCUCCUUUACCCUUCUGGAGUAAGAAAGAUAAUCCAGAAUUUAGUGAUGACUCCAAAAAUGACUCCAUAUCCUCAGGGGAAAAUGCUUCCAAAGGAGAAGACUGCCAUUUACUUAAAUGAAUGAGUGUCAUGUACUGUUAAAUACUUUUAUUUAAAAAAAAAAUCAGCUGUUAAUUGUCAAGAAGAAGAUUCAUGACCAUUCUGAUAUUCAGGAUUGUGAAUAUUUACUAGACAAUGUUUGGCAGAACUGAGAGUAGAAUUUAGAUCCUCCUGACGUCUAGUCCUGUGCUUUAGCUAUUAGAUCAUACUUCCUUUCCUUAAUUUUUUUGGUAUUCUGAUUAAUCGUUGAAGGUUUUACUUAUAGUACUGAAUAUUGAGCCUAAUGCAGAGCAUCAGGAGGCACUUAGCAUUCUUGUGCUCUUUGCAGAGUAGAAGGAGUGAUGAAGUUCCUUUAAUUUGAUAAAUCUACUAAGAAAAUUGUAGACUUUGCCUGGAUGACUAGCUUCAAAAGUGACCUUCACUAAUAAUAAUAGCAAUCAAUACUGUCUGCCUCAGAAUACACAGGAGUAAUGGGUAACUAACUGCUCCUAGAACUGAGCUCAUGGCUAUUUCAUGAACAAAAUGUUCAUAUAUACACAUUUUAGAAUGUAAUCUUUCCCACACACAUUCAACUGCAAAAUAAAAGGGUCUGGAAUCAGAAGUAGUUCAGAUAGGAUUAUUUCUGUAUCUCCACAGCCAACAUUGAAUGGAUUACAGAAAUCCAAAAUGGAUUAAGAGUCUGCCUCCCAUGGAACAUCUGAAACUUCUGUCCAAGUGUCAAAUUAAGGGCACUAUAAUAAUGCAGUAAUAUUAUGUCAGGGUGACAGCAAAUAUAAGGGGUUCCUCUACUCUUGACUAGAGGGCUUCCUUGUCUGUGCACUGGAUCAGUGAUCCUUUAGAUACAAAUAAUGGAUGACCUUUCCCUUAAAGCCUUUUGUCCUCCUGAACACUUAUGAAAAUUGUGACAGUAGUGGCAUCAGGUCAUAGAAGAAAAGAUAGCAUAUUAUCUCUGUUCUAGGUGGCUAUCUUCUUUCAGGACACACAAAGAGAAAUACAUAGGGUAAAAACAUUGUUCUAGGGGCUGGGAGUUAACAAGAGACCAACCAGUUCUUUUGUGCUUUCUGGUUCUCACUUCAUGGUAUUUUCUCUGAUUCUAGAAUCCUUGAAGACACACUCAGCUGUGAGGACCAAGUUUUCUAGGAUUCAUUGUUCUGUGCUAAAGUCCAAUUUUUGGCUUUUCACCCAAUUGUAUAUCAGACCUAUGCAGCAUUAGACUACAAAAUGACAAUUUGAAGAGGCUUAUGCUUCCAUACAGUAAAAACAUAAUGGCUUUAGCAUAAUGGUAAUAUAAUGGUUGAAAAAGUAGCAUACCCUGAAAGAUUACUUGCUGCAAGAUUUUGACUUGAUGCAGACAACAUACCAAUCUGACUAGGUGGAGUGCUUGCAAAUCAGUGGAAAUGGCCAAGAACGAAGCAAAUUAGAAGGACAGUCAGAUUAAUCUUGGUUAUCUUACUUCCCAGCUUCCAGGCAGUGCUGUGGUGUUGUAGGCCCUAUGAUGCUAAAUGCACACAAAGCAGGGUGUUAUGAGUUUUUCAUUGGUUCAAAAAGCUAUGAGUUUUUCAUUGGGUCAAAAAGCCUUCACUCAGGGUUUUGCAUUUAGAUUCAUAGACUAUCAGAGUUGGAAGGGACCUCAGGAGGUCAUCUAGUCCAACCCCCUGCUCAAAGCAGGACCAAUCCCCAAAUUUUUUUGCCCCAGAUCCCUAUAUGGCCCCCUCAAGGAUUGAACUCACAACCCUGGGUUUAGCAGGCCAAUGCUCAAACCACUGAGCUAUCCCUCCCCUCCCCAAGUAUUAAAAGGCACAAUGUGAACAUUGUAGAACAGUUCAGAGGGAUGUUAAAGUAAUUUACUGGAUUUAAUCUUUACACAGAGAAGAGUUCUUCCAUUGACCUAGCUGUUGCCUCUUGGAGAGUUGGAUUUACUACAGUGGCACAGCUGCAGUGCUGUAGCAUUUCUAGAGCGGACAUACCCCAACACUUUAACUUCCACUGGCUUGCCCCUCUAAAUUGAAAAACAGACCACCUCUUUAAAUGAGUGGCUUCAAGGGCAUCUCUGGCAACAUGAUUUUAUUAGUCAUACUUCCAAAGGAUGGGGUCAUCAGAGGUAUGGGCCUUUGUGUGGACACCUCUGACUUCCAGCAGAUCUCAGAGACUUGAAGAUUCUGGGGCCUACACCUCUGGGCCUACACCUCUUGCAGGGUGUGAUGCACUCUUCUACCUCAACUCUCCCCACUCAAAAAAAAUUCCAAGGAAAAAUCAUAAGUAGAAAAAUGGAAGCUUCCUGUUCUUUCACAGUUGAUGAUGUCACCCUAUGUUGGAAAGAUUUUACACUUACCAGUUCUCAGCCUAAAAAUUGCUUUUAGAAAAUGUCGUAUAGAAAGGUUCUGCGAAGAGUGUAGUGUGACUUUAGAGUUGAGUAAAUACCUAACAUAGCAAAAACCUUCCAAAGCCUAAAAACAAGGCAAUUACAUUGAAUUUGGCCAGUACCUGAUCAUUAGUAAGAAAUGUGUUUCCAAAGGAAUUAAAUGUUGGCAGUAUUUAGCUAUUUUGAAUAUUUCUUUUGAUCUUUUAAAUAAAUUGGUAGCCAAUGGGCAUGAGUUUAUUUGGUUUAGUGGAGAACCCCUUUGCCACCUUUGACCAGGUAGGUUUAAGUAAAUUUAUUUUAUGAGUGGUUCAUUCCCUGAUCUGCACCAACACUGUAACUCUUGGAGUGAAGGCUUUCUAUUUCCCCUCCCUUUCCUUCCUCAGUGUAUGAUUAGCUCAAUAUCUUCAGGUAGAAAUUUUCUACCCUGGCACACUAUUGCAGUUAGGUGCAUUUUGGUUUCAUUUUCACAGAGAGACUGUGUAGUCAGACCUCCUGUAUAAUCCAGCAUUAGUCACUGUAAUGGGAUAACUGAGUAGAUGCACCAUUGGUCUUCAUCAGGGUAACAAGUUUUAAGACACCAUUGUUAAACACCAGAAAAUAAUGGAAACAGUGACAGGCCUUAGAAUCAAUCUACUAUUAGGAGGGCUUUGCUGGUUUAUACCAGUAUAGGUAAACUGGCAAAACCUUCCUAGUAAAGAUGCAGUUAUAUCUUUAUACUUGUGCCAGUUUCCUGAUUAGUAUAAGCACUUAUAUACAGAUAUAUGUGCCUAUACUAGAGCUUUUACCAGUAUAGCUGUAUUGGCAAAAAAAAAAAAAAAAAAAAUCACACUCCUAACUAACAUAGCUAUGCCAGCAAAGCUUUCUAGUGUAGACCUGCCCUGAUGCUCCUAGGAGGCAAGUGGGUAAGGGAAAAUGACACGUGCACAAAUAUUUUCUGUAAAUAAAAUGGAAGAAUUUGUCUGCACUAUGUCUCCUUUGCCAGUGGUUCUGUUCCAUGUGAGGCAUGUUUUUUCUUCCCAGCCCUCAGUUUGCAGUCAUGGACCAUUCCAUCUCAAACUACCGAAGGCCAGGUCUACAUCAGAAACUUUCACUAGUAGAGUAACGUUAAUUAGGGGUGUGUAUGUUUUGACACUUCUAUACCAGCAAAAGCCCUAGUAUAGAAGCAACAAGUGCUAUUGCCAGUAUAGCUUAUUUUAUUUGGGGAACUGGUAUUAAUAUAUCAGUGAAAAUACUUUGCCAGUAUAAGCAGUGUCUAGAGACUCUAGAGUAAGAGAGUUUUUUUUCUACACCUUGUCUAGUGUAGACUAGACCUGAGUGAGAGCCAGCACUCUUAUUUACUCUUGUGGGUUUUUCCUAAAGGGGUUGGGCUGCUUAAACUACCCCCAUCGCCAUGCCCAAGACUAUCUCUUGUAAAUGCUAAGGUGGUAUCCCUUUUGAGAUAUGAACUACAGUUUCUUGUUCACCUCUUCAAACUGACAGUUGUACUUAACCUUGAUUUUAACUUCUGGUAUUGUAAAAGGUGACCCUGAAAUUAUAGCAAUAUCAAAAAGAUUUCCAUUCAAGGGAAAGAAGAAACAUAAGUUUUGGGAUUUUUUUUUAAAUGUUCUUUUAAUGUGAAGAUGAACUGAAGUUUUCACAUUAGAGAGAUCAGACUUAACUUCUAAUCAGAGAACUAUCCGCACCAUUUAAUUAGCCUGACAAGGAUCUGAAAUUUGGACCAUAAAGUUAUUGUGUGCUAACUUGACAGGAACAAAGUCUAAAGCUGACCUUAAUUGUAAGUAGAAUAUUGGUCCACUACUAAAAGUAGAUGUUAAUGAAGGAUUUGUAAUGUAUUAAAAUAGCUAAUGUCAAUUCUGUAAAAUUAAUGUUAAACAAGAAAAUAUGAGGUUUGACUUACAGCUUAUGCUUUCAUUCCUUUGACGUUUUGUAGACACCUUGGGCUAACGUAGCAGCACAUAAUGGUUUGUGGGUUUUGAAAAGGUGCAGGCCAUAUUGUGCUGCCUCAAAAAUACAAGGAUUUCAUCCUCCUGAAGAGAAAUGUCACUUAUGAAUUAACACGAUCCUGAUGUCAGCAGUACAUUAGCAGCACGUAAAUAUUGGCGUUAACUCUGUAAAUAUCUCCAGUAUUAACUGUGCUGCUGAAGUAAAGUUGGCCAUUCUCUGCAAAUGAUCCUAAGGAAGUAUGUUGAUGUUGUCCGACUUAUCUCCUGAGUGUGUUAAUUUAUGUAAAAAAAUUAACUUUAAUAAAUCUUACUGUUUUUGUUCUAUAGUUUGAUUAGUUCAGUACAGAUUUUUAGAACCACAUAGAAUCUGGCAGUAAAUCUAGAACAUUUCUUUGAACACUGAAUUUAUUGUAGGAACUGUCUCAGACUACAGCCUUCUUCAUAAACAUUUAUUAACAAUUUGUUCACGUGAUUAUUGUACAAACUUAAAUUAGUUUAAAUAUCUGCAUGACUUUAGUAAAGCUAAUGAGAUUAAAAUUGUUUUGUUUUACUUUCACAGCACUUCCUAUACCGAUACAAAUUUAAAAUAUAUUUUGUCAAUUGUUCUACAAGUUCAUCAGCUUUAGCUAGAAUGACUUCAGAAAUUCUUUUGAACAAAAGAGGCAGUGAAAAGUUAAUUAUUCUAAAAUUAUUUCUUGCAUUAUAGUAGCUAUAAAUAUGUAAAAAAAAUUAGUUUAAAAAGUAUACUCUCUACAAUUGAUUGCAAGAUAACUAAUUUUCUCAUCUUCUACUAAAACAUUUCUUCUUCAGAGGAGUAUUGCAUUGAGACAACUGAAUCUGCCACAGUAAGGAUGGAAAUUACAUGAGUUUCUUUCCUUUUCUUACAUGCAGCUUUUAACUGUGUGGUGAGUCAAAUGUAGACUUUAUUGGUUAUGUAAAUGUCUCACUAAUUUUAGAUACAGUCAAGAUCUGAAAGUGUUUCCUCUAUGAUCUUUUCUUCACUAUCAUGACUCAGUAUCACUUGCUAGAUCUAAUUGUACUAGCCCUGUUACAUUUUACCAUUAUAAAUCAUUCUUGUCCUCAAACCAUACUGGCUUAUAUUUUAACUUAUCUCCACUGAAGAUUUCCCCUGAUUCAUGCCUCAGUGGCCAGCUGAAUAGAUGCAAAACUCUAAUGUAGAUGGGCAGCUGUUAAGCUAUAAUUUUUUUCACCACAUACAAUUUCAAAGUAGAGUCUGCUGUACGGCUGCAAAUCUCAAUUUUGCUUGUCUAUAGUAUUGGCUUGCACUGGUGGACCUUACUGUUCACUAGUGGCUGAAAUUUUCAGUUUAGAUCACACUGGACUGUCUUAGGGAAUUAUCUUUCCCUAUCAGGAAAUGCUCAGUAUGGGUUGCCUAUUAAACGCUUCAGUGUAAGUUGUUAGUAUAUCAAGUUUACAGGAAUAAAAGAAACGGUUAGCUAAUUGGUGUUACACUGAGGUGGUCAACCCCAUUUGAAACUAACUCAAAAAAAUUCACUCUAGCCAAACCUUUGAGUGUCAAGGUGUCUGUCAUGUGUCCCAUCUGAGGACAUUUUGCAAAAGUGAGGCUCAUUAUCUGGUGUAUGUUAGGUACCUGAUUUAGAACUAGACAGUUUUCCUAUUGGGGCUUCUUCUAUCAGCACUGCGCUGUGACAUUUACCAUAGGAGACUUUACACAUGCAUUCCAAUAGUCAGAGAAUCAACUUUUCUAUGAAUCCCUGCCUAAGAAGGUCACUCUCUAGCAGGAGGCUUGUCGUCUUGAAAUUCCCCUUUCUGCAAAAGUCACUGAUAAUAGCCAAUAUACUGCAGCCCGUACUGCACAUAGAAGGCUGUCAAGAUGGUUGAUCUUGUAAGCCCAGUGCCUUAAUAUGGUAGGACCGUUAUGAGAGCUGAUGUGAACCUACAAAGUUGGUCACAGGCAUUGCAUGUGGCAGCUUCUCUAAGUACAUUGCAUUUGCUUUGACAUCCAAACUGGAGAAUUUAAAGAGAUUGUUUCCUCCCAAUUGGAUAUUGGUCUCCCUAGAUUCCCAUCCAGCUUCAGCUCACUAGUACAAACUGUGCACAUACCAUUCUCUUUCUGCUGAACCAAGAAACUAUGAAAAACACCUGCCAGUAUGCAGUGUUUUUUACCCUCAUCUUCCUAAUCAUAGGCUCUGUAAUAGAAAUGUCACUGACGCUUCCCUUUAUAAUCAGUUGCUUAUAACUUUGCCAAACUUUAAUCGUUUGGGUUGUAAUUUUCCACUCAGGGUCUCUGCUACAUGUGGAUUUUAUUUUUCCCUCCCAGCUGUUUCAGAGAACAGUAAGGGAAAAUACAUUGUUUGGACUAUAUUUUAAAAAAAUGCUGGCAACCUUUUCCUCAAAAAAAUCUCUUGCCCUGUGCUUUGGAGCAAGGACUCCAAAUUUGGGUGUGUGAUGGUCUUUGUGUCAGGGAUGUAUCUUUUGGAGUCUUUGUGAAAAAUCCACCCACAUCUGGCCAAGUUAUAAGUGAAAAAUUGCACUUUGCACAUGCUCAAGUAAACUUCUUAGAUUUUAGCAGCGAACUUCCCCAAAGGUUUUGUCUGCACUGGGCAUGCUCCAGCCCAUAGUUGAGCUGGGCUUUUCCUGAAAGUUCAGCUCUCAGGCAGCUGAACUCAGAGUAGGGAGCCUGUCACUCCUGUGCUUUCAAAGAUAACCCCUUUGCUGGGCCGAGGCAAGUUGGAGGAAGAAGCUGCCUGAUUCAGAUGCAGAGGGGAUAAGAGCCGACUACAUGGGGAGUAGAUGGGAACAUGGCGUGUUGGUAACAGAGUAGGACAAGGGAGAGAAAUAGUGGAGGGACUGAGACUGUGGGAUUUGGUGGGCUAGGGGGAGGAAUAGGAAGGGGAGGAGGGAUUUUGAAAAGGUGACACUAGAAUUUGCUGAGCAAAGAUACUGGAACAACGAGGCUGUGGAGUUGGAACUGGGACAGCAUGGAGAGUGGCUCCUUGCCCCAGCCACAGGAGUAAAGAAGAUCCAGGACAGGGACAGGUUGGAGGGGAUGGACAGAAGAGUCUGUGCCUACUAGAGAACACUCCCGCCAGAGCAUGGAAUAGAACCCAAGAAUCUUGGAAUCUCAUCAUUUCUCUGCUGUAAGCAAAUAUCUGUGUAACCCACUUGCAAAGUAUCCCAUCCACUCCCUGUGCGGGUCCACAUAGAGGAUGACAAACUACUAUUGCUGUCAGUUACUCCAUUAGCUCAAGUGGUGGAGGGUCUUUGCAUUGAAGCUAAAGUUUCCAACUCUGCUGAUGGCCUGACUGGGUAUCCAUAUGAUGUCACCUUAUAGAAUUUCUAUUUUUUAAAAAACCUAGUGUUCCAUGUGUGAUUUCCUAUGUUAAAAGAACAUAAUUAAAGUUAGUCAGGCACUGAUUUAGUUGGGGAUUGGUCCUGCUUUAAUCAGGGGGUUGGACUAGAUGACCUCCUGAGGUCCCUUCCAACCCUGAUAUUCUAUGAUUCAAAAAUUGGGAAAUGCCAGAGUUUAAUUGUGCCUACACCUAUUUGUUGCAGAAGUUGAGAGGUGUGUAAUAUUUGUAGUACUAGAACAGACAGGGCUAGGCUUGCCCAUAACUAAAGCGCUUCCCCCACCCCCAAAUUAUAGGGGAGGAACCAUUAAGUCCAGGUUACAAUUGACUGCUGGGGACAACAAAGGAAAAAAGAGAAACGGGUGAGAUUAAAGAUUGAAAAUCAGGGCAAACAGGGCAGAGAAUCCCAGAGAGCACCCCCUGCUUCUCAGAGGUAUCCAAGGAACUGGUGGACACUGCCCAGAGGAACUCCAUCUGGAGAUGUGAGCAGAGAAGGGACAAUAAAAAGGCCCCACAAUUGCAGAGCACACCCUCCUCCCCCACAUCCAGCUUCCUCCUCUUGGAGUGAUAGAUGGCCAUCUUGGCCAGUGUCAGGAGGAUGUUGACAAGGAGGUCCCAUGACUUUGUGAAGCCAUGGAUAAAGUAUACAAAAAUCAAGAGGUGUGGGGGAAAGGGGCAGCCAGAACCUCAGGAAGGGGUUCUGGAUGAGCCACAAGAGGGACUGCAACCUGAUGCACUCUACAUAGAUCUCAAGGGUCUCCCUGUUGCUGCAAAAGGAACAUGUAUCAGAAGAGUUUGUGAACCAUGCUAGGACAUGCCUGUGCUCACAGCUCUAUGUAGGAGCUGCCAAUUAACAUCUCCGGUGGGCCAUGGAAUUACAUUGGAGUACAGACAGGCCCACCAGGGUUCCUCACCCUCUGCAGGUGGCAACAGGCUCCUCCAACUUGGUGUUGGAUGGGAUGCAAGGGUGAGGAACUGAAUGGUAUGAAGCAUGAGCGCUUACAGAUAUUUUCUGAGCACAGCUUGGAGGCAGACCAGCUGGAUGUCAUUCAGCUGACAGGUGGCAUGUUGGGGGCAGCUGGGGAGGCUCGUACAGCAGGAGCCUUGUGAUGAGUUCUGGAGGGCCAGAGACGAGGGGUGGACGCAAAGCACACUCAUGUGGGACCCACUCAAGGAAAAUCAUAAUCAGGAGCCAAGGCUGCCCUCACCUCCCAGAGCACACAACAGUGGAGAUGCAGGGUGGGCAGCCCCAUGUAUUGGCUGAGCACAACAAGGUCCACCCAGUGUCUCAGAUCAAUUCUGGUGGCACCAGCCAGGACUAUCCUCUGGAACACAAAGGGUGACACCACCACUUUAACACAGAGAUGAGAGCUCUGUGUAGUAGGAGUUCUGCAGCACACUAUGGAACUUUUAGUGCAUGGUUACUGGUUAUUGUGUGGCAGGCUAGUGUGCUGUAGAUUUACACCCCAGCUUACUGUGCACUGUCAGUGUAGACAUGCCCUCGCUCCCUGCAUGAUUCAUGUCUUGGGUGUGGAACACAGCAUAGCAGUUACCAGACUUAGAGGUAUAGGGAAGACUGCAUUAACUUGAUUAGCUGUUUGCUAAUUUGAGGAGUCCCCAGUGAAAAUGCUGAUCAAAACCCACACACAACAAUUGAAUGAUUUGCUGGUCUUUUGGUCCUGUCCCACACUCCAGCUUACAUCCUAUGUUGCCAUUUAUUCAUUCUUUAUUAUGUAGUUAUCAAAUAAAAAAUUGUAAGAUCUUUGUUUUGCAUAAAUGAGUUAAAUGUAUUGUAAAACAAUAUGCCAAAGAGAAGCUCAAACAUGAGCAUUGCCUUUAUGUUGUAAAAAGUUGUACACUGUGUGGCAGGUGUUCUUCAUACAGUAAUGUUCUACAAAUAGAACUGCAUGACAAAUAGAAUGGGCAAGUUAAACUGAAAUGAUACUAUUUAUUUGUUAUGUAUAAUAUGAUUGUAACAAUGUUUUUAAGAGUGCAAAAUGACUUCCAUACAUGUGUUCAGGGCUUAGCACACUCUGUUGUAUAUAAUUUCAUGGGAACCAAGUGUUUCCUCUUUUUAUACUCCCUUAUAAUGGCUGCACUAUAUAUUUGAGUUUUUACAAUACUUUCCUCACUGUCAAAUGGUUUGGGGUUCAAAAAUAAAAUCACAA